rnacentral:misc_RNA from 1 species
CAACACAUGGGACAGAUUUGAACUUCGUGUCCACAAGCGGGUUAUCGACCUCUUUAGCUCUGCUGACGUUGUUAAGCAGAUCACGUCUAUCACCAUUGAACCAGGUGUUGAGGUCGAAGUCACAAUUGCAGAUUGAUGUGUUCCAUAUUUCUUAAGUUCUUAAAUCCACUCGUAGUUAUCUAGAGUUUUAUGUACUCUGUGUGCCUGCCCUGUUUCAAUCUCAAAUGUUAAGGUUAAUGCGUUAUCCAUUUUUGUCAUAAUUUUGAAGUUUAUAACUUAUUUCGAG